UACGUAGGGUCCAAGCGUUAUCCGGAAUCACUGGGCGUAAAGCGUGCGUAGGUGGAUGUUUAAGUGUGAUGUUACAUCGUGUGGCUCAACCAUAUCGAUGCAUCGCAUACUGGACGUCUAGAGGACAGCAGAGGCAAGUGGAAUUUGUAGUGUAGCAGUGAAAUGCGUAGAUAUUACAAGGAACACCAAUGGCGAAGGCAGCUUGCUGGGCUACUCCUGACACUGAGGUACGAAAGCGUGGGGAGCGAACAGG
rnacentral:rRNA from 1 species